rnacentral:rRNA from 1 species
CGUAGUUGGAUUUCUGACAAGAGUAAUCGGUCCAAACCUUCGGGUUUGUGUACUUGGUUUUCUCUAGUCAUCCUUAUGGAGAACGUGCUUGGCAUUAGGUUGUCGGGUACGGGACCCAUAUCAUUUACUGUGAAAAAAUUGAGUGUUCAAAGCAGGCAAUCGCUGUGAAUACAUUAGCAUGGAAUAAUAAGAUAGGACUUUGGUACUAUUUUGUUGGUUUGCAUACCAAGGUAAUGA